AACUUUAGAGACGGUCCUUUAAUUUCCGCAUGUCUGGGAAUAUCGAACGUCCAACGUCAAACAAACGUCAUGCCAGUUACAAAGAGUGCAGUCGCCGACUCUAAAGCAGCACACAAGGCGUUAAAGUCCAGACUCGAGGCGCUCAAGCUUGGAAACUUGUUUGCAGUUUUAUUCGCGGUCCACGGUUGAUAUAUAUAUAUCACAUGUAUUUUUUCCACGACGAUCCCGGUGGUGUGUUUGGAAUCAAAAUGACGCUUCCAUUCCAUUCCAACCGUUUCCAUGGUGACGCCAAGUGUUGGAAGCACCAGCGCUCAACGCCUCCUUCUUCUACCUCUUCUUCUUUUUGUUUUUAAUGGCGGUUGGCAAACCACUAAAGGUGCAUUACCGCCACCUACUGGACUGGAGUGUGGGCAGUGGAUUGUCAGGAAAACAAAACAAAACAAAAAAACAAACAAACAAACAAACAAACAAAAAAACUCUAGUAAUAAUAAUACCAAAACGAUACUGCAUACACAAAAGAAAUUAAAGAUUUGUAUACUAUUAUUAAUAAGUUGUAUACUAUUUAUUCGUACUAUAGAUUACUAAAUUCUCUCACUUAUACCAGUUCUUUUUAAAUAGUUCAUUAGGGGGCGGUGCAUUUCCCCAGAUGUUUUCCCCAGCAAGUUCUCUAGUGUCAUGUUUUGUUUUCCAAUCUGCAUCUCUAGCUCAGUUCUUUCCUCCUCAUACCUUUUGCAGUCUAACAGAAUGUGUUUCACAGUCUCUUGUGUAUUGCAGUGUGUGCAGAGUCCAGUGGGGUGUUUUCCUAUUCUGUUUAAUGCUAGAUUUAAGCCAGCAUGACCUAUUCUAAGACGCGUAACUAUCAUCUCUUUCUUUGGGUUUCUGCCCUCCCUCACACUCAUGCCUACUUGUUUUUGUAUAGUAUAUAGAUGUCGUCCGGUGUCAGCUGUGUCCCAGUAUUCCUGCCACGUUUUAUGCUUGUGCCCCUUUAUAAUGGUUUUGAUCUCUGCUCUACUUAAUGGAACCCAGAAGAAGGAAACACUCAGCCCCUUAGCAUGAAUGCCAAUAGGAUUCCUAAUAACUCUACUGUGUACACUGAUAAAUAAUCGGUCGUCCUUUUUUUGGCUGCUACUUCAUACCAAGGGAUAAAAAAAGCUUCACCAGUGGGGCCAGUCUCAGGCUGUUUUGACCCAUCUGUGUAUAUGAAUGGUUUUAUGAAUCUCCGGGGUGGUACAGUUGGUAUUGCCACAAUGGGGCUUACUUGUAGCUGACUGAGACCUGCAUUUCGUGCCUUUACAUUUCCUGCGCUCAACUCCUGCAGAGAACCAUUGGAUUCUUCUUCUUCUUCUUCUUCUUCUAAUGGCAGUUGGCAAGCCAACUUAAGUGUGUGCAGAGUCCAGUGGGGUGUUUUCUAUUCUGUUUAAUGCUAGAUUUAAGCCAGCAUGACCUAUUCAAAGACGCGUAAUUAUCAUCUCUUCCUUUGGGUUUCUGCCCUGCCUCACACUCAUGCCUACUUGUUUUUGUAUAGUAUAUAGAUGUCAUCCGGUGUCAUCUGUGUCCCAGUAUUCCUGCCAUAUUUUAUGUGUGUCUCCCUUUAUAAUGGUUUUGAUCUCUGCUCUACUUAAUGGUACUUGUAUAUCAACUGUUUCAUGCUUUAUCAAUCUUUUUGCCAGUACAUCCACAGUUUCAUUCCCUUCUACCCCUACAUGUGCAGGAACCCAGAAGAAGGAAACAUUCAACAUACCAUGGAGUAUGAGAAUCAGAUAAAGUAUUUGGUAAACAAUGUCUUGUCUGCAUGAUGUUUUCCCAGACUGUAUAUUUGAUAGUGCAGAUAGACUGUCAGAAGUUAUAGAGACAUCUUGGUUCUGAUGAUUUUUUUCCAACCACUGCAGUGCCAGUAGGAUUCCUAAUAAUUCUACAGUGUACACUGAUAAGUGAUCGUUUGCUCUUUUUUUUGACUGCUACUUCAUAAUGAGGAACAAAAAAAGCUGCACCAGUGCAGCCUGUCUCAGGCUGUUUUGAACCAUCUGUAUAUAUGAGUAAUUUAUCCUGAUACUGGUCCAUAUAGUUUUGAACUGUUAUCCACUGUGGUGCUAUUUUAGAUUUUUCUUUUAAUAUUUGUUGUAAUCUUGUGUCUACAGAUGGUUUUAUGAAUCUCCAGGGUGGUACUAUUGGUAUCACCACAAUGGGGCUUACUUGUAGCUGACUGAGACCUGCAUUUUGUGCCUUUGCAUUUCCUAACCAUCCGAAACUGUUAAAGUUAGUCCUAUAAAACUCUGAGCAUUCUUUCGUGGGGUGCACCCUGCUAUGCCCUUGUAGAUUUAUCCAAUAUGCCAGAAUGAUCUUAACCCUCCUGAAACUACUGAUCUCUUCUGUCUCAACCUGUUAUGCAAUCACUGGUAAUGAUUUAAAUGCUACAGAUCCGGAGUGCUUGUGCUUGUUCCACAUCAAGCUUUUUAAGAUUUGAUUGUGAUGAUGACAUAUAUGCUAGACAACCAUAAUCAAAUGUUGCUCUCAAAAGAGCCUGAUAGAUAUUUAUGAAUGAUGCCCUACUUGCUCCCCUGACAGACAUCUCAGAACAUUAUUAAUCUUUUUACAUUUGUUCUUAAUUUUAUCAAUAUGUGGACCCCAGGUCAGCUUCUCAUCAAAAAGCACUCCUAAAAAUCUCACAGCCUUGACCUGUUCAAGAUCUACCCCAUAUUAUUGAAGUGGUACUGUUUUAUGACGUUUAGAAAAACAUAUAACUUGUGAUGUUGAAAUUGAUAGUUUAAAUCCCCAUUCAUUUGCCCACUGUUCUACUUUCCCUAUUGCAUGUUGCAUUCUCUGUCUUAAUUGUUCUAUAUUUCGACCCCUACCCCAAAGUGCCCCAUCAUCCGCAUAAAGCGACUUACCUAUAUUUCCUCCAACCUGAUCAAAUAUGUCAUUAAUCAUAAUAUUAAACAGUAUUGGGCUACAUACACUGCCUUGUGGGCUACCAUUUUCCACUGCAUAUCUAUUUGAAUACUCUUUACCUACUCUAACUUCUAUUGUUCUUCUGUUCAGAAAGUCUAAUACCCAAUUAUAUAUAUUACCAUUUAUUCCUAAUUUGCAGAGUUUAAUUAGAAGUCCAUCCUUCCAAAGCAUAUCAUAGGCUUUUUCAACAUCAAAAAAUACAGCAAUGUACACUUUCUUUGUUAGAUUGAGCUUUCGUAACUUCUGACUCUAGGCAUAAUACAGAAUCCAUUGUCCCCCUCCCUUUAUGAAAUCCUGACUGAUACGGUGAGAGAAGACCUUUACUUUCUAUAUAGUGAUCUAAUCUAUCUGUUACCAUCCUCUCCAUAGUUUUGCCUAACUUUGAUGUUAAUGCUAUCAAUUAACAGUUAGAAAAAUGUUAAUCCUUAACUAUUACCCUUAUUAUUACCACUUCAUAUAUGCUGUAACUCAGUUGAUGGUUAAUGUAUACAUUUCAUUAUUUCCUGAUGUGCUAAGGAUUAGUGCACAUAUUAAUUAAUCAUUAUGAAGCAUAAGUUAAGUAUUAAUAUAUUGUUUAUUUGUGGACCUUAUAGUAAAGUGUUACCAUUAAAAAUAACAUACAGUAUGUAUAUUUUAUGUGAAUGAGAACGAGAAUAAGAACCGAAAUAUACUUGAGUAAAUAUGAAAGAAAAAAAAAAAAAAAGAAGAAGUUGCUAAACAACACCAUUAAAGAACUCAGACCUAAAAUUCAGACUUCAGACAGAAGGUCUUCAUAAACUGAAUCAGAUAUGUUAGAUGUAGGUUAGAGCUAAACCAGGUGUGUAACCUGGCUUGGGCAUUUGGGGCUGUAACCCCGAAGAUUUUUUAUUUAGCCCCAAAUAAUUCUCCACUUUGAGUUUGUUACUAUGUAACUGAACAUCAGUAAAAGAUGAUGGCGGUGUUGUAAUUUUAUAUCUUCAGUGAACGGAGGUGAGACCAAUCAGACAGGGCUUGCAGGAAAAUACGUGGAAACACUCGUGUCUUAUUGGCUGACAGCUUGCAAUUAUGCCAAACACUAACUCACAGUCAAUGUAUAUACGCUGAUUUAAAAUAUAUAUUUUUUAAAACAAAUAAAGGGGUUGAAACGGAAACACUAACAUCCUCUUAUGCUGAACAGGAAAACAAGGUGUGUAAAUAUCUAUAUGAGACACUGUAGCAGCUAAACUCAUAGCUUAGUUGUGCUUCCCCUUGUCCAGCAACACCAAACUAGCCUAGUUAGAAAAGUUUUAUAUUUUAUUGGUCUGGUAGUCCUACAAACAGUGACAACACCCAAGGCAAGUUUUAUGAUAAAUCCAACUUUUUCUGAUCAUGUCGUACAUUGACAGCUAAGUUACCUCAGUGUCUAUAAAACAAAACUUUGGCUACUAGCUGAGCUGGAAAAAAUGCAUGGAGAAGAAUUUGGACCCAGCCCGAGAUGAUUAACAGCCUCUGAGCUAAACUCUGAAGAGAGUUUCAGGAGGAGCAUUUGGGAAUUUAUAUAGCAAUAUGCGGCGAUUCCUGCCACAAGGGGGCAGCAUGUGA